GACGAACGCUGGCGGCGCGCCUAACACAUGCAAGUCGAACGGAGCGUACUGCGUGAAGCCCUUCGGGGUAGAACUUUGUAUUGCUUAGUGGCGAACGGGUGAGUAACACGUGAGCAACCUACCCUAGAGUGGGGGACAACAUCUGGAAACGGAUGCUAAUACCGCAUAAGACCACGAGGUCACAUGACCUUGAGGCCAAAGGAUUUAUUCGCUUUAGGAUGGGCUCGCGCCUGAUUAGCUAGUUGGUAAGGUAAUGGCUUACCAAGGCAACGAUCAGUAGCCGGACUGAGAGGUCGAUCGGCCACAUUGGGACUGAGACACGGCCCAGACUCCUACGGGAGGCAGCAGUGGGGAAUAUUGCACAAUGGGGGAAACCCUGAUGCAGCGACGCCGCGUGGGUGAAGACGGCCUUCGGGUUGUAAAGCCCUGUUGACGGGGACGAUAAUGACGGUACCCGUUCAGAAAGCCACGGCUAACUACGUGCCAGCCGCCGCGGUAAUAC
rnacentral:rRNA from 1 species